AGCAGCCGCGGUAAUUCCAGCUCCAAUAGCGUAUAUUAAAGUUGUUGCAGUUAAAAAGGCUCGUAGUUGAAUUUCGGGGUUAGUAGGUUGGUCAUGCCUCUGGUAUGUACUGGUCUCACUGAUUCCUCCUUCCUGAUGAACCGUAAUGCCAUUAAUUUGGUGUUGCGGGGAAUUUGGACUGUUACUUUGAAAAAAUUAGAGUGUUUAAAGCAAGCUAACGCUUGAAUACAUUAGCAUGGAAUAAUGAAAUAGGACGUUCGAUCCUAUUUUGUUGGUUUCUAGGAUUGACGUAAUGAUUAAUAGGGAUAGUUGGGGGCAUUAGUAUUCAAUUGUCAGAGGUGAAAUUCUUGGAUUUAUUGAAGACUAACUACUGCGAAAGCAUUUGCCAAGGAUGUUUUCAUUAAUCAAGAACGAAAGUUAGGGGAUCGAAGACGAUCAGAUACCGUCGUAGUCUUAACCAUAAACUAUGCCGACUAGGGAUCGGAUGAUGUUAAUUUUUAAUGACUCAUUCGGCGCCUUA
rnacentral:rRNA from 1 species